AUUGAACGCUGGCGGCAUGCCUUACACAUGCAAGUCGAACGGUAACGCGGGGCAACCUGGCGACGAGUGGCGAACGGGUGAGUAAAGCAUCGGAACAUGCCCAGUAGUGGGGGAUAGCCCGGCGAAAGCCGGAUUAAUACCGCAUACGACCUAAGGGUGAAAGCAGGGGAUCGCAAGACCUUGCGCUAUUGGAGUGGCCGAUGUCAGAUUAGGUAGUUGGUGGGGUAAAGGCUCACCAAGCCGACGAUCUGUAGCUGGUCUGAGAGGACGACCAGCCACACUGGGACCGAGACACGGCCCAGACUCCUACGGGAGGCAGCAGUGGGGAAUUUUGGACAAUGGGCGCAAGCCUGAUCCAGCCAUGCCGCGUGCGGGAAGAAGGCCU
rnacentral:rRNA from 1 species